GGGGAAUCCCCGCAAAAGCUCCCAACAGGAGUCUGUGGACCCUUGCCAGCAGGGACAAUAGGAUUACUUUUAGGAAGUUCUAGUUUGAGUUUAAAAGGGGUACAACUGGUGUGAUUCCGUCCUGCGGGGCUGUUCCCUGGAGCAGCGUUCGUUUAUCUCCAUCCGCCUUCUCUCCCACCUAAGUGCGUGCAGCCACCUGAUGGAAGAUUUGAUGGACAUGAACAUGAGCCCCCUGAGGCCCCAGAACUAUCUAUUCGGUUGUGAACUAAAGGCUGACAAAAAUUAUCAGUCUAAGGUGGAUAAUGAUGAAAAUGAGCACCAGUUAUCUUUAAGAACGGUCAGUUUAGGGGCUGGUGCAGAGGAUGAAUUGCACAUUGUUGAAGCAGAGGCAACGAAUUACAAAGGCAGUCCAAUUAAAGUAACACUGGCAACUUUGAAAAUGUCUGUGCAGCCAACGGUUUCCCUUGGGGGCUUUAAAGUAACACCACCAGUGGACUUAAGGUUGAAGUGUGGUUCGGGGCCAGUGCAUAUUAGUGGACAGCACUUAGUAGCUGUGGAGGAAGAUGCAGAGUCAGAAGAUGAAGAGGAGGAGGAUGUGAAACUCUUAACUGUAUCUGGAAAGCGGUCUGCCCCUGGAGGUGGUAGCAAGGUUCCACAGAAAAAAGUAAAACUUGCUGCUGAUGAAGAUGAUGAUGAGGAUGAGGAUGAUGAUGAUGAAGAUGAUGAUGAUGAUUCUGAAGAUGAGGAAGCUAAAGAAAAAGGGCCAGUGAAGAAAUCUAAUUCUUCAAAAAAACAGGAAAAAACUCCUAAAACACCAAAAGGACUAGUUCUGUAGAAGACAUUAAAGCAAAAAUGCAAGCAAGUAUAGAAAAAGGUGGUUCUCUUCGCAGAGUGGAAGCCAGGUUCAUCAGUUAUGUGAAGAAUUGCUUCUGGAUGAUUGAUCAAGAGGCUAUUCAAGAUCUCUGGCAGUGGAGGAAGUUUCUUUAAGAAAAUAGUUUAAACAAUUUGUUAAAAAUUUUCCUUCUUAUUUUAUUUCUGUAACAGUUGAUAUCUGGCUGUCCUUUUUAUAAUGCAGAGUGAGAACUUUCCCUGCCACGUUUGAUAAGUGUUGUCCAGGUUCCAUUGCCAAGAAUGUGUUGUCCAAAAUGCCUGUUUAGUUUUUAAAGAUGGAACUCCACCCUUUGCUUGGUUUUCAGUAUGUAUGGAAUGUUAUGAUAGUACAUAGUAGUAGCGGUGGUCAGACGCAGAAAUGGUGGGGAGACAAAAAUAUACAUGUGAAAUAAAACUUAGAAUUUUAAUAAAGUAAAAAAAAGGGGGGGUACAAAUACAUACAGGAGUCAUUGAUUCAGAUUACAAUGGGGAAAUUCAAAUUGUUAUAUCUACUUCUAUUCCCUGGAAAGCAGAGCCAGGAGAGCACAUAGCACAGCUCCUGAUUGUGCUGUAUGUGGGAAUGGGAAAAAGUGAAAUUAAACGAACAGGAGGAUUUGGAAGCACAAAUAAACAAGGCAAAGCAGCUUAUUGGGUAAAUCAAAUUACUGAUAAAUGUCCUACCUGUAAAAUAACUAUUCAAUGAAACAAAUUUAAAGGUUUGGUAGAUACAGGAGCGGACAUUUCAAUCGUUUCUCUACAGCACUGGCCAUCCACAUGGCCAAUUCAACCCUCUCAAUUUAACAUAGUUGGAGCUGGUAA